rnacentral:rRNA from 1 species
GCUGGCGGCACGCUUAACACAUGCAAGUCGAACGGGAUCUUCGGAUCUAGUGGCAGACGGGUGAGUAACGCGUGGGAACCUGCCCUGUAGUAGAGAACAACUCGAGGAAACUUGAGCUAAUACUUUAUACGCCCUUUGGGGGAAAGCUUUAUGCGCUAUUGGAUGGGCCCGCGUUAGAUUAGUUUGUUGGUGAGGUAACGGCUCACCAAGACAUCGAUCUAUAGCUGGUCUGAGAGGAUGAUCAGCCACACUGGGACUGAGACACGGCCCAGACUCCUACGGGAGGCAGCAGUGGGGAAUAUUGGACAAUGGGGGCAACCCUGAUCCAGCGAUGCCGCGUGAGUGAUGAAGGCCUUAGGGUUGUAAAGCUCUUUCGUUAGGGAAGAUAAUGACGGUACCUAAAGAAGAAGAUCCGGCUAACUCCGUGCCAGCAGCCGCGGUAAUACGGAGGGAUCUAGCGUUAUUCGGAAUUACUGGGCGUAAAGCGAGCGUAGGCGGAUUUGUAAGUUGGAGGUGAAAUCCCAGAGCUUAACUCUGGAACUGCCUUCAAAACUACAUUUCUUGAGUUUGGUAGAGGAGAGUGGAAUUCCUAGUGUAGAGGUGAAAUUCGUAGAUAUUAGGAGGAACACCAGUGGCGAAGGCGACUCUCUGGGCCAAUACUGACGCUGAGGUUCGAAAGCAUGGGUAGCGAACAGGAUUAGAUACCCUGGUAGUCCAUGCAGUAAACGAUGAGUGCUAGAUGUUGGAAACGUUAGUUUUCAGUAUCGCAGUUAACGCGUUAAGCACUCCGCCUGGGAAGUACGGCCGC